rnacentral:lncRNA from 1 species
UUUUUUGUUCUUUACAGGUAUUUCCGCUGUUAUAAAUUUAUAUCGGAGCACUCCCGCUUUGGAUAAAUAGGUUUCAUGCUGAAACAAAUAUUCUCACAGAUAUUUACAAAGUGUGGUGGGGUGCUUUUAUGUUUAAAAUCGUUAUAUACAGGUUAGACAGUGAUUUUAAAAACAAAUGUUGAUAUCUUUUUAUAAUAUUUACAAAAAAAAAACGGUGCAGGAAAUGGACAUAAUUACAUUUCCGGAUGCGGGAAUAUAAAAAAAAAAUAUGUUUUGAAAAAAAUAGGUGCGGGCGGGUCCGUCGAACAAGGAAUCAAAUUGGUGUGGCCUUAGUAAA